AAAAAUCUUGUUCGUAAUGCUGUUGAGGACUCACAUCAAACAUACACUAAAAGGUAUGAAGAAGUAAAUUUUUUACAUAAUCUGAUAUUUGUAUCGACCUCGUAUUUCCAGUUCCCAGCAUUCAGUGGCCAUGAUUUGCAAAGCAUUAUUCAGAUGGGUUUCGACAAGGAUCCUGUUAAAGAGACUGCAUUUCAUUCAGAUAGCUUUCAUGGUAAAGACAAGAAAAGAAUCAGAUUAAAUAUUGUUUUAAAACUUGUCACUUAUAACUACUUGUUUUAUGCAGUCCCAAAUCAAACAUCACACAUGAAAGUUGAGCUGUGAACGCCAUUUGUUUAUGCUCUGCUGGAUGCCCGAAAGAGAAACAGGCUGCUGUAAAUACAAAGAGAAUUUAGUACAAGAUGAUUGAUAAAAUGCUAAUUCUAGGAAAUUUUCUUUUUUCUGUCUUAGUUUCGUCCUUUGCAUUUUAUUUCGCUAUUGUAAUUGAUGAAUUCCUGUUUCCAUUUUUUUAUGAGGUGAUUUUACAAUUAGCCAUUGUAUAAUCAUACAACCAGAUGGCUAUUUCUGGUGCAAAGUCUUAACAGCACCAUAUAUGUACUAUGUAAUAUAAGAUAUUCUUAGUGGAAAUGAAAACUAAUAUUUCCAUGGCCAUUCUUUGUUUAGCAGUCUACAUCUCACUUAUUGGCUUGUUUGAUGGUUUAAACUAAACAGGAUUAAAGAAGAAGAAGUAAUUAAAGUCUUAUCUAUACAAUUCUGUUUACUCUAUCAUACCGAAAACAUCCCUUAUGUAAAAUCUUGAUGAUGCAUUGCAAUCUUUCUCAAGAUCUUCACACGGUCGUGUCAAUUAAAGUGUUAAAUCGCGUUUUCUAGUGGUUAUUACUUGUGAUUGUUACUACUUAUGUUGUAACCAGCUGUAUAAGUGGGGCUCUUUUCAAUCAAAAGUCUUAAUACAGAUGAUAAUUUUGAUUAAACUUUUGUUCUAGUCUAUCAUAAUUUCAGGCACAUUUUGUGGGCACCUGUAAUUUUCACAGAUAAACCAGAAACUGAACCUUCUGAUCUCUUUUUCACCCUGCAAAGAAUAAUCGAAAGGCUGGAACUUUGUGCCAGUCAUUUACAG
rnacentral:lncRNA from 1 species